ACUGUAAGACCUGAAGUAAGUGUCAGAUAAGAGCCACAUACAAAAUGUGCAGUGCUGGGGUCCUUCAGGACAGGUUUGGGAACCACUAGAGUUACAGAAGUAGAAAUAAUUAUAUAUUCUGACAUGUACAUUUUUUUUAACAGUAAGUUUUUCUUGACAUUACAGUGCUAUUAAUUACACUAAAAACAGCUUCACUCCAUUGUAGUCAUUGUAAAAUAAAAAUGAAAAAAUACUCUCUUCACAGUUAUUUCUCACCAGUGACACAUUUAUUUUGUAUCAAACAGUGUCUUUAAGGUCAUUGGCAUGUCUGUCGCUGGUUCAUCUGUCGACUCUAAACUGAGGUGAUCGCGUAUGUUUUUAUUGUUUCAGUUUAUUAAUCUCCCAAUAUUGGACACUAUUAAACCUGGAUGAUGUGACUUGUUUAACAAGAUCAACCCUGUUAUUUUUCAACUCUGGAAGUUUUUUUUUUUUUUUUUUUUUUCAUUUAAAAAGAUUUAAUUUGAUCUAUAAGACUGGAGAUUGCAUCAGAAAGUAAAGCAAGUGAGUGAAAGCAAUAUAGGACAUUGUUUGAUUUGUAUCGUCUUUACUCUUAUCUGGUGUCAUAUAGCCUAAGCCUAACUCUUUUUUAUUUCUAAUUAAUGCUCUUUAAUGUGAUGUGUGUUCUUUUAUUUCUUUAAUACAAAGUGUUCGGAUUCUGCCGUUACAUAGGCCUAUUACACAAACAAUACAAAUGCUUGUGCGCUCCUUUCAAUCAUGAAAUACAAGCUUAAUGUUGGGAAACUUAAAUUGGUAGAUUAAGCUCUCUAUUUGCGAUCGAUUGUGGAAUAAGUAACAAAAAACCCAUGCUGUGUGCACUGCACUGAUAAAGUGAAAGUUUUUUAUAUGAAGCCAUUUGAAGCUUCUACCUUUCAAACGCGCCUAAUUUAGAUAUUCUGCGGGAAACAGAAAUCCGAUCAGUUAUCCAGAUACAGAGGCCAUGUGAACAAAUGUAAAUGCGCCAUGUCCUGAGGGUUUAAAUACACAGAAGAAGCGAAUUAACUGAAACAGAACAGGUGUGUACUACUUAAUUAGAAACCACAGAAACUAACAAUUAACUAACAUUAAUGAAUGAGAACACAGGCAAACAGGAACAGGGGAAACCAAACUAAAGCACAAAGAAACUAAACAGAACAGAAAAUACAGGUUACAUAUAUAAAGUCAAACUGGAUCAUGACUAUUGUAAAUGAGAUGAAUAAACUCUUCCAAUUGUUUAGUUGAAAUUACAUUGUUUCAAGCAAUAAUCAACAAUUUGAAAGAAUUUUGUGUGAUUUGUUGUUCUUUUUUGAAAAUCAAUUCAUCCAAACUGAAUGUGUGAGUGUUGAGAAGAUGUGAGUUUCUUCUAAUAUCAGUGUGUUGAAGUGUUGUUUCUCUCUCUCUGCUGGAGUUUGUGUUCACUCGAGUGGAAUAGAGGUUUUUGUACGACCGUUUCAUUAGAUUGUAUCACUGUGGUACACAUUCGGUGGAGGAACUAAACUGAUCGUCAAAUCUGGUCCCACAGUGAAGCCCUCAGUGUCUCUGCUGCCGCCCUCUUCUCUGCAGAUCUCUGGAGACUCAGCCGCACUGCUCUGCCUGCUCAGCUCUUACUCUCCACAGGGGGCGCUGGUGAGCUGGACACUGGACGGGUCAGAGGUCACCGAGGGGGUCGUGACCAGCGCAGAGAGCCAGCGGGACGGCCGCUACAGCCGCAGUAGCGUCCUGACCCUCAGCAAAGCACGCUGGGAAGAGGGAGAGGUGUAUGUCUGCAGAGUAACACAUGAUGGAGCUCCUCAUGAGGUCUCGUUCCACAAGAGCUCUGAGUGCUGAUGUUUCUCUCCUGAAGAUGAGCGUAUCUGAGUGUCCUGUGUCAGGCAGGAUUCACAUGAGUCUAGUGCUGCAGCUGUAGUGAUUUACAACUCAAUACUGAAAGAGAGCUGGCGUGUCAAAGCACUGUGUGAUCUUUCAAUCUGCUGUAACAUUCAAUAAAGCUUCUCAACAAGUUCA